GCAGUGCGUGGCCGAAUGGUUACGCUGUCCGCAUUGUAAGCGGAUGCUUCUGGGUUCGAUUCCCAUCUGCUGCA
rnacentral:tRNA from 1 species